rnacentral:rRNA from 1 species
AGCGAACGCUGGCGGCAGGCUUAACACAUGCAAGUCGAGCGGGCACUUUCGGGUGUCCGCGGCGGACGGGUGCGUAACGCGUGGGAACGUGCCCUCUGGUUCGGAAUAACUCAGGGAAACUUGAGCUAAUACCGGAUACGCCCUUUUGGGGAAAGGCUUGCUGCCGGAGGAUCGGCCCGCGUCUGAUUAGCUAGUUGGUGAGGUAACGGCUCACCAAGGCGACGAUCAGUAGCUGGUCUGAGAGGAUGAUCAGCCACACUGGGACUGAGACACGGCCCAGAAUCCCAAGGGAGGCAGGAAGGGGGAAUAUUUGAACAUGGGGGGAAGGCUGAUCCAGCCAUGCCGCGGGAGUGAUCAAGGGCUUAGGGUUGGUAAGCUCUUUUAUCCGGGACGAUAAUGACGGUACCGGAGGAAUAAGCCCCGGCUAACUUCGUG